rnacentral:rRNA from 1 species
AGUGAACGCUGGCGGCAGGCCUAACACAUGCAAGUCGAGCGGCAGCGCGGGGGCAACCCUGGCGGCGAGCGGCGGACGGGUGAGGAACACAUCGGAAUCUACCCAGUCGUGGGGGAUAACGUAGGGAAACUUACGCUAAUACCGCAUACGACCUGAGGGUGAAAGCAGGGGACCGCAAGGCCUUGCGCGAUUGGAUGAGCCGAUGUCCGAUUAGCAAGUUGGUGGGGUAAAGGCCCACCAAGGUGACGAUCGGUAGCUGGUCUGAGAGGAUGAUCAGCCACACUGGAACUGAGACACGGUCCAGACUCCUACGGGAGGCAGCAGUGGGGAAUAUUGGACAAUGGGCGCAAGCCUGAUCCAGCCAUGCCGCGUGUGUGAAGAAGGCCUCGGGUUGUAAAGCACUUUUGUCCGGGAAGAAAUCCCGUCGGUUAAUACCCGGCGGGGCUGACGGUACCGGAAGAAUAAGCACCGGCUAACUUCGUGCCAGCAGCCGCGGUAAUACGAAGGGUGCAAGCGUUACUCGGAAUUACUGGGCGUAAAGCGUGCGUAGGCGGUUCGUUAAGUCUGCCGUGAAAGCCCCGGGCUCAACCUGGGAAUGGCGGUGGAUACUGGCGGGCUAGAGUACGGUAGAGGGUGGUGGAAUUCCCCGGUGUAGCAGUGAAAAUGCGUAGAGAUCGGGAGGAACAUCUGUGGCGAAGGCGGCCACCUGGACCAGUACUGACGCUGAGGCACGAAAAGCGUGGGGGAGC